CUUUUCAGUUCUGUCUUCCUGAGGCUGCUGUUUCUGGGCAUGGCCAGGGGAUCUUCAGACUUUACAAACCAGUUGUGCAGAGCCAGGCAUUUCAAUAAGGAACAAAAUGCUGAGUAACAACAUGAAGUCAGAGUGUUGCUUGCCAAGAGCUGGGAGGCCUGGGUGGUUUCCCAAUCUUAAAGAAGCAGAAGGAUAUUAAAGUGAGCCUCCCAAAGGAAAACGUGGAUCUACUUACCAACGCAGAAAAUGAUACACACGGAUUCGAUUUAGGCACGCUACAUUCAAAUGACUUGGAAGAGCAGGUUCUCUGAGCCAGGAUACUAAAGUCCCUGUUUAGGAAAGAGCCACGUUGUAUGUUUACCCUACCACAAAGAUACAGGGUUAUAAUGAAAAUCAAAUGAUCACAUACACCUGAUUCACAUUUGAAAAG
rnacentral:lncRNA from 10 species